rnacentral:tRNA from 1 species
GCGGGAAUAGCUCAGUUGGUAGAGCGCAACCUUGCCAAGGUUGAGGUCGCGGGUUCGACCCCCGUUUCCCGCU